UUUGAGGUCAUCCAAGGUUAGAUCUAAAGUUAUGUUUGAUUUACUGAAGAGUAGUACGUCUGCCUCGCGAGAGAAACCAGUCGAGGAUUAGAAGGAGUGUCGAUUGACGACGCAUCCUUGGCGUCGAUCGACACUUAUGCCAGAAUAUAGGCGGAGCCUAUUUCGUGACUGAUUUAAGCCUAGAAGUCACCACAUAUUACCAGAAUUCCCCUGGACGACUUAAGACUCUAUUUUACUCUAAGCCAUUGUUGACGGCUAUGCUUCAAACUAUUCUAGAGAGAGAAAUAUUAAGAUUGGAGAGAGAGAUCCGAACACCUUUAGAGAGAGAAGAUCUUGAACUCUCUUUGUUUCUUUACUCUAUUAUUUAAUUAUUCUAAUGCAGUAUUAUUCAGACCAUCAUAAUGUUUACUAUGAAUAUGUCUGAGUUAUUCAGACCAUCAUAAUGUUUACUAUGAAUAUGUCUGAGUAGUUCUAUUGUUCUAUUUAGGGUUCUUCAAAGGUUGAUUUAUGGUUUGCUUAAUAUGUGUUGCUGUUAUGGUGAUUUAAUUAGUUUUUUAUCUAUUUGUUCUUAUUGCUUGGGUUAGGAUUGAUCAUCCCGAACUUA
rnacentral:lncRNA from 1 species